GGACUACCGGGGUAUCUAAUCCUGUUUGCUCCCCUAGCUUUCGUUCCUCAGUGUCAGUUGCGAUCCAGUCAGCCGCCUUCGCCACGGGUGUUCCUGCAGAUAUCUACGCAUUUCACCGCUACACCUGCAAUUCCACUGACCUCUCUCGCACUCGAGCACGGCAGUUUUGAAAGCAGCCCCUGAGUUAAGCCCAGAGAUUUCACUUCCAACUUACCGCACCACCUACGAACCCUUUACGCCCAGUAAUUCCGAGCAACGCUGGCCCCCUACGUAUUACCGCGGCUGCUGGCAC
rnacentral:rRNA from 1 species